rnacentral:rRNA from 1 species
UGUUGUUUAGUGGCGCACGGGUGAGUAACACGUGAAUUACAUGCCCUUCAGUGGGGAAUAGCCCAGGGAAACUUGGAUUAAUACCCCAUGGUAUCGCAAGAUUAAAGGUGGCUGCAAGGCUGUCGCUGAAGGAUUGGUUCGCGCCCUAUCAGCUUGUUGGUGAGGUAACGGCUCACCAAGGCUACGACGGGUACCUGGUCUGAGAGGACGAUCAGGCACACUGGAACUGAGACACGGUCCAGACACCUACGGGUGGCAGCAGUCGAGAAUAAUUCACAAUGGGGGCAACCCUGAUGGUGCAACGCCGCGUGGAGGAUGACGGUCUUCGGAUUGUAAACUCCUGUCAUCCGGGAGUAAGACCUGGUCGUUAAUAGCGAACAGGGUUGAUAGUACCGGAAGAGGAAGGGACGGCUAACUUCGUGCCAGCAGCCGCGGUAAUACGAAGGUCCCGAGCGUUGUUCGGAAUCACUGGGCGUAAAGGGAGCGUAGGCGGCGUGGUAAGUCAGAUGUGAAAUCCCGGGGCUCAACCCCGG